UUUUUAGUUAUAUAUCUAUCAUUAAAAGUGAAGGGCUGGAGAUUUCACAACCAGCACUUGAUCCUCAACUUUCUGAAAGGUCUUGCUGUGGAGAUUUCACAACCAGCUCUGGAGAUUUUUCAGUUACUUACUGUGCUUAGAACUGGGCUUCGACUUCCUUGGUAUCCAAAUUGAAAGGUCCUGCUGAGAGAAAAAAGCUAGAGGACUUGACAAUUGGUCCAGUUCUCACUUUUACAACUGAAUCAAUGUUGUAAAUAGAGAAAAUUAAAUAGAAGAAAAGCAUAGCUUAACGAAAAGCUUUUGAAGAUGAAUAUACUCACAAUCAUGUUCUUACAUACUUUUGGUUGUUGUGCUUGCAAGAAGGACAUACAAAAUUGGAGGUUGUGAUUUGAGCAGCACUGCUCCUCCUUGUACCAGGUGGAUUGAAAUGAUGGCUCAUGUUUUCUCAAGAGCUGCAUGGCAUUGCAUUUGGUAUAUGAUCCAGGUGGAUUUAAAUGAUGGCUCCUGGAUUAGUAAUAUGUAAUUCUAGGAUGGUAGCUUGCUUA